AAUCAAGUGCCUUAAGGGUGUUCGGUGGAU
rnacentral:rRNA from 3 species